rnacentral:tRNA from 1 species
GGGCGAAUGGUUUAGUGGUAUAAUACUCCCUUAGCAUAGCCUGCACAUCUGGGAGUGGUCCAGGGUUCGAUUCCCUGUUCGUCCA